GACGAACGCUGGCGGCGUGCUUAACACAUGCAAGUCGAACGGAAAGGCCCUGCUUUUGUGGGGUGCUCGAGUGGCGAACGGGUGAGUAACACGUGAGUAACCUGCCCUUGACUUUGGGAUAACUUCAGGAAACUGGGGCUAAUAUCGGAUAGGAGCUGCUGCUGCAUGGUGGGGGUUGGAAAGUUUCGGCGGUUGGGGAUGGACUCGCGGCUUAUCAGCUUGUUGGUGGGGUAGUGGCUUACCAAGGCUUUGACGGGUAGCCGGCCUGAGAGGGUGACCGGCCACAUUGGGACUGAGAUACGGCCCAGACUCCUACGAGAGGCAGCAGUGGGGAAUAUUGCACAAUGGGCGGAAGCCUGAUGCAGCAACGCCGCGUGCGGGAUGACGGCCUUCUGGUUGUAAACCGCUUUCGCCUGUGACGAAGCGUGAGUGACGGUAAUGGGUAAAGAAGCACCGGCUAACUACGUG
rnacentral:rRNA from 1 species